AAGCCAUGCAUGUCUAAGUAUAAAUGGUAUACAAUGAAACUGCGAAUGGCUCAUUCAAACAGUUAUAGUUUAUUUGAUAUUCAAACUAAUGAAAGUUAGUUUAAAUGGAUAACCGUAGUAAUUCUAGAGCUAAUACAUGCGUUACGGGGGACUUUACGGAACCCCAGUAUUUAUUAGAUUCAAACCAAUAUUCCGCAAGGUCUACUGAGAUGAUUCAUGAUAACUGAUCGAAUUGCUGGGUCUACUAGCAAUAAAUCAUUCAUGUUUCUGCUUCCCAUCAGCUUGAUGGUAGUGUAUUGGACAACCAUGGCAUUCACGGGCUAUCGGGGGAUUAGGGUUCGAUUCCGGAGAGGGAGCCUGAGAAACGGCUACCACUUCUACGGAAGGCAGCAGGCGCGAAAAUUAUCCAAUCCUGACUCAGGGAGGUAGUGAAAGAAAUAAUGAACUAGGAUUUAUCCUGGGAUCACAAUGGGCUUGAUUUGCAAACUUUACAUUUAGCGAGGAACGAUUGGAGGGCAAGUCUGGUGCCAGCAGCCGCGGUAAUUC
rnacentral:rRNA from 14 species